CCUACGGGAGGCAGCAGUGGGGAAUAUUGCACAAUGGGGGAAACCCUGAUGCAGCGACGCCGCGUGAGUGAAGAAGUAUUUCGGUAUGUAAAGCUCUAUCAGCAGGGAAGAAGAAAGACGGUACCUGACUAAGAAGCCCCGGCUAACUACGUGCCAGCAGCCGCGGUAAUACGUAGGGGGCAAGCGUUAUCCGGAUUUACUGGGUGUAAAGGGAGCGUAGACGGAGAAGCAAGUCUGAAGUGAAAGCCCCUGGCUUAACCACGGGACUGCUUUGAAAACUGUUUGACUAGAGUGCUGGAGAGGUAAGUGGAAUGCCUAGUGUAGCGGUGAAAUGCGUAGAUAUCAGGAGGAACACCAGUGGCGAAGGCGGCUUACUGGACAGUAACUGACGUUGAGGCUCGAAAGCGUGGGGAGCAAACAGGAUUAGAUACCCUUGUAGUC
rnacentral:rRNA from 1 species